CUGCCAAGAGGAAACCGACCUGCAGGUGGGCCACCUGCCAGCCCUCACCCUGCCCUCUCUGAGACGACAGCGGCUCUCGGCCCGGCGCCGGUGGGUGCCGUGUGGCCGCCAUACCCGGGUUCGGGAGGGAACAGAACUCCGCGGGAGGAAUCGAAGCCCCACGGGGGAAGGAGCUCCCCGGCUGCCGGGGAGUGGAGAUGUGGCGCGGCCCCCCUCUGCCCUCGAGUUUGAUUUGGACCCUGCCCUUGGACCCAUGCUGCCACUCCGGGGGGCGGCUCCGCGCUCACCCGCACUCGGGAGGCUGCUUCUGGACCGGGGCCGCCGCCCCGCGCCCGCCGGGAUGUCACUUCGGAGUCUGCCUUUUGUUCCCCGCUACCUCUCGCUUCCAGGGAUACGGGCGGCUCCCCGCUGGCUCGGGGAGGGGCGAGCCGUUGCAAAGAUAUCUCAUUUAAAAACGACAAUGGAGUCCUUUCGACCAGCCCGGGUGGUGCCCGAGCUUUGUUUUCGGGCUGGGGGAAGGGAAUUGUUUGCUUUUCUUUUGUUUUCACAGCAAAACUUGAGGGCAAGUUACAGGAGUGUUGCGAGCAGCCUCGGCUCGUCCCCAUGGACGCAAGGUACCGGGCAGGGCCACCCUGCGCAUCUCUGGCCCUCCCUGCGCAGGCACAGCGCCUUCGGGCGCAUCCACCAGACGAUUCCUGGCUCUCACUGGAUCCGAGAAGUCGAAAAAUUGCUCUCCAAAUCUUACCCUGAUCUCCAGUCUAUGCCUUGCUCUGAGGUCUCCUGGAUGCUUUAAUUCGGAAGGAAGGACGUUCCCAGUCGUGCCGGGGAGCGCAGGGACGCACCGGAGCCCGCGGGCCGCCGGACGGAAUCGACCCGCAGCAGCCCCCGAUG